AGUCGCGUGGUCUAAUGGUCAUGAUUUCUGAUUCACACUUUCAUUGGUAUGCUCAGAAGGUUCCCGGUUCGAUCCCGGGCGCGACUA